rnacentral:rRNA from 1 species
AUUGAACGCUGGCGGCAGGCCUAACACAUGCAAGUCGAGCGGAUGACGGGAGCUUGCUCCUUGAUUCAGCGGCGGACGGGUGAGUAAUGCCUAGGAAUCUGCCUGGUAGUGGGGGACAACGUUUCGAAAGGAACGCUAAUACCGCAUACGUCCUACGGGAGAAAGCAGGGGACCUUCGGGCCUUGCGCUAUCAGAUGAGCCUAGGUCGGAUUAGCUAGUUGGUGGGGUAAUGGCUCACCAAGGCGACGGUCCGUAACUGGUCUGAGAGGAUGAUCAGUCACACUGGAACUGAGACACGGUCCAGACUCCUACGGGAGGCAGCAGUGGGGAAUAUUGGACAAUGGGCGAGAGCCUGAUCCAGCCAUGCCGCGUGUGUGAAGAAGGUCUUCGGAUUGUAAAGCACUUUAAGUUGGGAGGAAGGGCAGUAAGUUAAUACCUUGCUGUUUUGACGUUACCGACAGAAUAAGCACCGGCUAACUCUGUGCCAGCCGCCGCAGUAAGAC